UGUGAAUGGCCACAUAGAAAGGCCCCAGAAGCAAGGACUUGAGGGGGCCACUGGCCAAUAGUCAGGAGGGAACCAAGGCUUUCACUCCAGCAGCUUUCAAGGAACAGCCACCUGCCAACAGCCACACGAGCUUAGCAGCAGGUUCUUUCCCAGUCGAGCCUCCGGAUGAGAUCCUAGCCCUGUGACGAACCCUGAGCCAGGUCACUCAGACUGUUACUCCGAGAAAGACAUCCUGGCCCACCAUUGGACGUUAAGGCUGUACCAUAUGCUCCUUGGUCUGAAGCAACAACAGUUGGUUGUCCAAAUCCAUGCAACAUCUCCUGUUCGGGUGCUUCCGUAGCACUCCGAGCAUUUGCAUCUUCCACGGGGUGUCCCUUUCGAGACCACUGUAGGAGCAUGGUGGCUGGGGCUCAGCCCUUAUCCCACCUUCCUUCUGGCCACCUCCCCGACAUGUGGGGCUGGGACACUCAUCAACUUUACCAAAUUCUCUUGCACCUGAACUUUUGCAGGGGAGUUUGAAUUAGCCACUCAGGUACGUUUGUGACAAGCUGGGAGGAUGGGAGUGAGGUGGGGCAGCGUCUGCGGUUUCUGGGCAAGUUUGUGGACACCAGAAGGCAUAAGGGCCUCUGUUUAGGUGGGCUGUGUGAUUUCUGGAGCCUACAGCAGUAGUGACUGCUUCUUGAUUACUGGAGAGGAAGUUCCUGCUCCUUUGGUGUCUUUGGGGAUCAUCCCUGAAAGCUCAACCUAGAGUUGAUUUUUUUCAGCCCUCCCACUGAUUCUAGAAGUCAUUUUACAUAAUUAAGCCCAAUUCACUGAAGCUAGCUGGAGUGGAUUCUGUUUUCUGCAACUGAGCCCACAUUGAUACAGCUAUCCUAUUGGGUCUCUCUAUUUUGAGCAUCUGCUAUGAGUCCACAUGGUACUAGACAAUAAUGGCUUGCAAUGUGCCACGCUAAAGUUGAUUCAAUCCUCUCAAUAGCCACAUGAGCUGAGUGCUAUUAUUCCUCCUAACACGCGGAAGUGAAAAUGGAGUCACAGAUGGGCUAAAUAACUUGCCUGAGUUCACUCACACAGAAAGAGGCAAAGCCAAGCCUCAGGGCCUACAACCACCCGUUGCAUGUAGUGCCCACGGACUAUGCCAAGUCCAAUGACUAGUCUAGUAGCUGCUUCUUGUGUGUGAAAUUAAGCCAAACACCCUAAAGUGAACACUUAUGAAGUGGUUUCCUGACUUUUUGAUUACAUAACUACUUUUUGUUCAUCUCAGUUUGAAGAUUUAUAAAUCAGACUUGAGACAUUUUCAAACCCCUAAGAGUCUCAAACAAAGGACCACAAAGACCUCACUCCUAAGCUUCUCCUCACGGAACAUUCAGAUUCUCUUUCCCACUCCCCCAACACCACUCUCGUCAGAAUGACUUUCCAUAAGCAGCAUGGUCAGCUCUUAGAAGCUCAUCUCUUAUGUCCUGCAUUUGAAGGCUGCAAUAUUAACCAAACAAUUGCUGCUGCAAGCCACAUUUUCCGUCUGUUCCUGAACAGAGAUUGGCGUGUGACUCUUACAGUCCGCAUAGUUCUCGCUCUUUUGCAGGGGAGAUUACUGGGGGAAAAUGGCUUUUCUCUUCACUCCACCACAGAGAUCAUUUAUCACUACUUGAAGAGUUGUGUGUUUCUGUGGUUGCUUGGUUUGGAGUUGCAACAGACACUCCGACUUCUGCAAAAUUCCAUUUAUUUUCCGCAUGGAAUGCAAUUUAAUGCACCGAUGUCUUCCAUACAGCUGAGUCAUAGCCUUAUUAAUAAAAUAAUCCUUGGAGCCCACUUGCACCUAGAGCCUUGCCAGUGAAGGCUCCAAUGCUUGAGUCCAUGAUGUCAUUUUAUGUCUAAACUCUUCCCCAUCCCCCCAACCCGUGCCCUGCUCCAUCUAGAACGGAAAGAGGUCAUGCUAACUUGAUGGAAUUAAAAAAUGCCAAAACCACACAAAAGAAUGCAGCUCUGGGUGUAGCGCUCAUCUGGCAAAUAUGAAAUUUUUUUCCCCGAGUGAGUCUUCCACAAACAAGGUCAGUCCGAAAGCCGACACUACCUUAGCCAGGGAGGGGCGACGGCGCCAUUAAAAACUCUUGCCAGCGGUUACCUCAGACAAUGUAAAUACAAAGCUGGUGCUUGUGUUUAUUUAAAGUUAUUGGCAUCGGCCUCGUUCCCGGUAGACCAAGAUUAUCUUGUUUACGGCAGCAUCCAGAUGAUGGACAAGACUCUGUAUAAUAUAAAUCCAGCCAUGCAAGGGGGGGGACCGUUAGCAUAAACAACUUCCCUCAAGCAAAACAAAUCCUGCCAAAUCUCAAGCUGGAAUUCAUUUAUUAUACAGCUUCGACUUGACUUGUCUCAACAUUAAACAACUGCAAAAGCAGAGGGAUAAAACCGAUGUCCGAGGGCAAGACAAGCCUGUCCUUUUGACUUCUAGCCUGUUUUGCAGAAGGUGUCUCUUUCUGGCUUUGUCGUGGUGUCGUGUUCUCUUCCCUUCAGAUGCUGCCCCUCCUGUCAUUUCCUAGGUGGUGUGGCUGUGGGCCCUGUGUGCCUACGUGAGAGGCAAGGAGGGGCAAGGGGCCACCCAGGGCCACCACUGUCCUUUCAAAAACACUUGGUCUGGCAGGCAAACCCAGACUUGGGAACUUAGUGAGGUUACUGACACAGAGGCAGAUAGCAGGACUUCAGGGUAAACACACAGAGCUCUCUGGGGCCAGUGCUUGGCCGUGAGCUCUGCCCGCUUCCGAUUCCGACUUGCCUAGAAGGGGAGGCUGGGCCCUGACAAGACUCAAUCCUGCAAAAUCCAUCCCUCCCACACGGGCUCUCCCCAGGGCUGCUUGAGCAUCCUUCUGACAUGGCUGCUGGCUCCCCCAGAACAAGUGGUUCAGGGAGAAAAGGAGGAGGAGGAAGCCACAAAGUCUUUUGUGACCUGCAAUUGGAAGUCCCACAGUUCCAGCUUCUGCAUUCUAGUCCUUAGAAGCCAAUACCAAGUCCAGUGCACACUCAGCGUGAGGGGAAUUCGAAGGGAUGAGGAUCAAAGAACUUGUGGACAUAAUUUUAAAACCACCACAGUCCACUUCAUUCUUUCCCUCCUGCAACAGCAGCCACUUUACAGCCAUCUGCCCCCUUGACUGUAGCCAGAGCCCAGUGUGAAGCUCUGGAUCGAUCUUGCUGCCCACCGUCUGUGCUUCCGCACCUGGGCCGAGGGGCCCUGACCAGGACGAUCCGCAGAGGGGACGCUCAGGCCCUGGCGGGGCCCCUUCUGCUUCUGGACACCUCCCCGACCCCAGGCGGCUCUCACCGCUGUUCCUUGGUGGCACAUCCGAAGUCCACCUCUCUCCUCAGUGCCACACCCCACUCACCGCCCCCCUCGGUGGCCAUUUGCUCACAAGCGAACCUGUAGCAUAAACCAAUUUCCUCCCACCCCAGGGGGAAGGGGCUUCUUUCCUCUUUUUAUUCAGGCUCCAUCGCUGUGGAUCCAAUUCACCACCUUCCAGAGGCCACCACGGCUUCCUCUCAGUUGCUCCCCUUUCUCUCGGCUCCUCUACUUUCACCCCCACUCUCACUACGAGCAAAUUCAGGUUUGUUCCAGCUUUUUGUUGUUGUUGUUAAGGCAAAAACUGAGUAAUAAUCCAUCCUUGGCCCAAUAUCGCUCCCCACACAAGACUCUCACACCCACCCUUCAGGAACCGUCCCAUGUCUCCGCGCUCCACAGCUGAGCUUCUGGAAGGAGAGGCCUGCACUCCUGCUCUCUCCCUCCACCUUCCCAGCACCAGGCACCUGCCACCGUGGCACCCCGGCCUCCAUGACGCUGUCCACUCCGCUCUCAUCAGGCUGUUGGGGGCCACCACAGGGCCAAAUCCAUGGGCCCUGCAUCGUCCCACGUGGCGUGGCCUCUGUGCGGUCCUGGGCACCCUGUGGAUAGCGCCUUCCUUUUAGACACCCUCUCCCCGUCUCCUCUGGCUGCGCCCGGUCCCACCCUGCUUCUGUGAAUGUUUUUGGUCUCUCUGUGGAAUCUCGCCAGACUCAAGCUUCACCCUCACCCCAGUGUCCCUCAGCUGCUGUCCUGGCCCAGCACUUGCUCAGGAGCUCAGGCGUUGCCCCUGGCCCUGCUCCCACCUGGACGCCGCGCGGGCCUUAGCCUCAGCACAGGUCGCAUUCCCUCCCAAUCCGGGUCCCCGGCUGUAUCUCCUGCUUCAAAGGUGGCAUCCCUUCCCAUGCGAUCACUCAGGGCAGAGCCUGGGAGCCUUCCAUCUUUCCCCAAAUGUGACCAGCCAAUUAAUGAAUCCGGAAAACAAAACAAUUUAAAAAAUG